GAUCAUGGCUCAGGAUGAACACUAGCUACAGGCUUAACACAUGCAAGUCGAGGGGCAGCAUGGUCUUAGCUUGCUAAGGCUGAUGGCGACCGGCGCACGGGUGAGUAACACGUAUCCAACCUGCCGUCUACUCUUGGCCAGCCUUCUGAAAGGAAGAUUAAUCCAGGAUGGGAUCAUGAGUUCACAUGUCCGCAUGAUUAAAGGUAUUUUCCGGUAGGCGAUGGGGA
rnacentral:rRNA from 1 species